rnacentral:lncRNA from 1 species
GUGAUGUGUUUCUCCUGCCUGGGCUUUGCUCACAGGGAGCAUUGUGACAUAUCUCUGGUCUCAGCACCCAGGUGUGAUUUUGACGCACACUUCUGCCCAGCACCUGAGUAAUGUGAUUCUUCAGAAUUGGCCCGGCCCACAAAUAGGAUUGUGCCACACUGCUGGACCCAGUGCCUAAGUGAUGUAACUCUAUUCUUCUGCCUUGGUGCUACUCGAAAAAGACAUUGUAACAUAUCUCAGAGCCUUACACCCAGGUAAUGUGAGUCUCCUCUUCUGCCUUGCUGCUGCACACAGAAGCGGAAUAUGUACAGGAUUGUUAAUCUCAUCUUGGAUCUUCCUGCACUUGUGAUUGUGACACAUGCCUCUGUGUAGAACCUGAGUGAGUUUACUCUCCUGCCUGGAUUUAACCCAUAGAUGGAAUCGUGACAUAUCACUGUACCAGAAACUAGGUGAUGUGACUCUAUUUUCUUGCCUCUGUGUUUUUAUAUGGGGCAUCGUGACAUAUCACUGGGCCUUGCACCCAAGUGAUGGGAGUUUUCUCUCCUGCUUUGGUGCCGUCCACAAUGAAAAUUGUGAAAUAUUGCUGCCCUCCCCACUAGGUUAUGUUACUCUCCUGCCUCUGCUUUGCCCACAUGGGUCACUGUGACAUAUUGCUGGGUCUAAAACCCAGGUAAUGUCACUCUCUUGUUUGGGUUCUGCCUGCAGGAGUCAUUGUCACAUAUCUCUAUGCUCAUCACCCAGGUAAUAUGAUUCCCUUUUACUGCUUAGUUCCUUCUCACAAAACAACUUGUGACAUAUUGCUAGGCCCAAUACACCUAGCUGGUGUAACUCUUCUUUUCUUUUCUUUCCUUUUUUUUUUUUUUUUUUUGAGAUGGAGUCUCACUCUGUUGCCCAGGCUGGAGUGCAGCGGCAUGAUUUCAGCUCACUACAGCCUCUGCCUCCUAGGUUGAAGCGAUUGUCCUGACUUGGCCUCCCAAGUAGCUGGGAUUAAAGGCAUGUGCCACCACGCCCGGCUAAUUUUUGUAUUUAUAGUAGAGACAGGGUUUCGCCAUGUUGGCUAGGCUGGUUUCGAACUUCUAACCUCAGGUGAUCCUCCUGCCUCGGCCUCCCAAAGUACUGGAAUUACAGGCAUGAGCCACUGCACCUGGCCUGAUUCUUCUCUUCUUUCUAGGUUUCAACUGCAGCAGAGAUUGUAACAAACCACUGGGCCCAGCCGCAUAAUGAUGUUACUCUUUUGCCUUGGGCCUGCCCUCAGAAGGCACUGUCACAUAUUCAUGGGCCCAACGCCAAGGUGAUAUGUGUCUCCAGCCUGGACCCUGCCCACAGGGGGCAUUGUGACAUAUCUCUUGGCCCAUCAGAUGUUUGAUUGUUAUCCCCUCCCCUCUUCUACCCUGUGUUUGCCUAUAAAAGACACAGUCAUAUGUUCCUGGGCCCAGCACCUAGGUGUUGUCUUACUGGAAUGUGUCCACAUGGGGAUUGUGAUAUGUCACGUGGCCCAGUACUUAACUUGAUGUGACUCUCCUCUCAUGCCUAGGCCUUGUAGAGAAUCCCCUUCCCCUUUUGUUUUCCUUUUUUUCUUUGCAGAUCCAGGAGAUAAUCAACUAAGAGCCAGGCACCCGUUUAGGUCUAAUAAACAUUUUACAAACUGCUCUCUCUUUUAAUUCACCUAUCUGAGAGAUUCCUCUGUACAAUAAAACUUGGUCUCCACAAUCCUUUACCUUAACCUAAACCUUCCCUUUCAUUGAUCCCAGGUCUUCAGAUUCCACCACUUGUCAACCACAAAAUAUUUAAAUUUACCUGGAAGCCGCCCGCUUUGAGUUGUCCCGCCUUUCUGAACCAAACCAAUAUAUUCCUGCAAAACCGGCCAUGAUUAAAACAUCAAAAAAUAAUACAUGUUGGCGUGGCUGUGGUGAAAAAAGAAUACUUUUUCACUGCUGGUGGGUAUGUAAACUAGUACAACCACUAUGAAAAACAGUAUGGAGAUUCAUUAAAUAAAAGUAAAGCUACCAUUUGAUUAAGCAAUUCUACUACUGUGUAUCUACAUGAAGAAAAAGAAAUUAUAUGUGUAAGACACUUGCACACACAUGUUUAUAGCAGCACAAUUUGCAAUUGCAAAAAUAUGGAAGCAGCCUAAUGCCCAUCAGCUAAUGAGUGGAAAAAGAAAAUGUGGCAUAUAUAUACCAAUGCAUACUACUCAGCCCUAACGAGGAAUAAAAUAAUAGCAUUUGCAGCAAUCUCGAUUUAGUUGGAGACCAUUAUUCUAAGUAACUCAGCAAUAAAAAA